GACGAACGCUGGCGGCGUGCUUAACACAUGCAAGUCGAACGGAAAGGCCCUGCUUUUGUGGGGUGCUCGAGUGGCGAACGGGUGAGUAACACGUGAGUAACCUGCCCUUGACUUUGGGAUAACUUCAGGAAACUGGGGCUACUACCGUAUAGGAGCUCCUGCUGCAUGGUGGGGGUUGGAAAGUUUGGGCGGUUGGGGAUGGACGCGCGGCUUAUCAGCUUGUUGGUGGGGGAGUGGCUUACCAAGGCUUUGACGGGUAGCCGGCCUGAGAGGGUGACCGGCCACAAUGGGACUGAGAGACGGCGCAGACUCCUACGGGAGGCAGCAGUGGGGAAUAUUGCACAAUGGGCGGACGCCUGAUGCAGCAACGCCGCGUGCGGGAAGACGGCCUUCGGGUUGUAAACCGCUUUCGCCUGUGACGAAGCUUGAGUGACGGUAAUGGGUAAAGAAGCACCGGCUAACUACGUG
rnacentral:rRNA from 1 species